GGGGAUGUAGCUUUGUGGUAGAGCACUUGCCUAGAAGCAUGAGGCCUUGGGUUCAAGCCCAACACUCUG
rnacentral:tRNA from 1 species